AGAUUUUGCUGUCUUGGGUUCCCAUUCCUUCUGUUUUCGCCCGACCUGGUUAAAUCCGGUGCCAUCGCGCUUCGUGCGAGGCCGAGCCUGAGAAUGCGAAACGGAGAGGCAGGAUCAAAGUUGAGGCGAAUCCAGGGGUUUGCCGAUAGGUCUCCUGGUGUGAGCUGUGAAAGUGACUGGAGGGUGUGACGCGAGGAAGGGAUAGGAGGGAGAGGGAUAAACGCGGUGCCUUAGAAAAAUAGGAGACAAAAUUGGGCCAAAAAUAAAUUAUUUGCUGAGAGGCAUGUCAUUUCCUUGCGUUUUAUUUGCUAGUUCCCUGAUGUGGAGAUAAUGUAGGAGCUGUUAUGGUUGGCGGUUAACGUGUGUGACCGCAGAGGAGCUUGAAUGAGUCUAAUAUGAGGAUACGUCGAUUUUUAAUUCAACGAACUGUUUUCUGCAAGACUUUUUGCCACAAUGGGGAAAUUAAAAUAAGCUCGCAAGAAUGAUUCCGACAUUUCCAAACAAGAUUGCCUCUUUUACCCCUUUUUGUUUACUUUGUCCGGAUUCCAGCCAAAAAGACUCAUCUCAAGGAAUUACAUUCUUGGAAAUGUCAGAAAAAGAUUCCUGGGUCUUAGAAGAUAAUUACUUGAAAUAUACAAGAGAGGCUUGAUGUUGAGAAGAAGACACCUCCAAGCUAGCAUAAGGAAUAAAACGGAAGGGUGUUUUUCUUAGAGGACAUCAUUUGUUGGAUUUAUCUGGUCAAGAAUUAACAGAUUUAUAUAAUAAGAUACAGGUGGUUCUUUGCACCAUUCCAACAUGCAUGAUUAUCACUUUUCACACGUUAGUUAAAUAACACCAGUCCCCCAACAACACAGUUGAAAUUUCAGUUACCACAGUAUUAACUGUGAAUUGUUGCAUAAACUUUGCUGCUAGCUCUUUAUUCCACAAGUCAUUGUGCAAAUAAAAGACGUGCAUCAAGAUCCGUAACCAGUUGCAUCAUUUCUUCCAAAGUCUUGCUGAUUGGUCACUGAACAUCUGUCAGUUCACAUACCGACAGUAAAGCAUGUGGUUUUGUUGCCUCUUUGUCUCCCAGCGAUAAACUCGUGAUGUUUUACAAAAAUGGAUAAUCAAAAGAGAGGAUUGGUCAACAAAGAUGAGAGGCAGCAAAGAAAUGAAAAGUGGUAACACUGAAAGUGAAAUUGGACAUGCUCAGAUUUGAAAAUGGUGACAGCAAAGCAAAGAUAGGACGAGAUGCUGCUUAUGGUUGAAAUGGAGCAUGUACUUCUCCUUUGGAUCGUGGACUGUAAUCAAAAACAAUUCCCACUAGGUUUGGCUAGCAUUCAGGCCAAAGCGUUGAAGUUAGUUGCUGCAUUGAAGGAAAAUGGUAAUUACAAAGAGACUGAAAAAGAACAUUUUUAUUGCCAGGCAAGGCUGGUUUCAUCGUUUCAGAAGUUGAUCUGAACUGAUUAUUGUUACCUGGUGAAGCUGCAAGCUCAGAUAAGGAUGGUACUGUGAAAUUUGCACCCAGGUCCAAGAAUUACAGGCAGGAAUGUAAUUCUUAGGUGGAAUGUAAAUGGAGUUACAGAAGAUAGAAAUGACCAUGGGAAUGUUGACACUGCCUGCCACUCAAGGAUCACUUGUAGAUAUGCAGCGAGAGGAACUUAGUGAAGGCGAGCGAACAUACAGAUAUAAAUGAGGAAAGCUGUUGUGUCAUAAAGGACGAACUCGUCUCAUAGGAAGUGAUGCCAGUGGAAAAGCUUCACGAUAGUUUUUUUGUAAAGAAAUAAAACUUUAAUUUUCAGUGUUUCUAAUGUUUUAAAUAUUCGUUUUACUAUUUUUUUUCAUUUAUAACUAACAUCAAGACGGUUUUUAAUGUUUGGACAAAUUUUAAGGUCACAAUUUGGAUUUUUAAUCCCAUAGGUUAAAAUUGCUUUGCACAGUUUUAGCUUACAUAGUCAAAGUGAGAACUGCCUGCAUUUAAAACAAGCUAGGGAGUCUUUACGUUUUACCACAUAUAAAUACCUAGAAACAGUUAUCGUUUAUUUUUAGCCUUAGGACAACCAGUCAUAAAUUAUACUUGACAUUUUUCAUGAUGCCUUUGUGUGCUACUAUAUCAAGGCUUGGAAAUAAAAAUUUAUAAUAUUGAA